GAACCCACAAGCCAUGACUUCCGAGCUGAAGUCGGACGCUUAACCGGCUGAGCCACCCAGGCACCCACCACCCCCUGCUAUAAAGUAUUAUUAAAUGAAGACUCCCCGGGUUCAUACGGAUCUCUUACGAUGAUUUUGCCCAGCUGCUCAACAGGCACACUAACAAAACAUUUGAAUCGCCAAGAGACCUCUAAUCUGUCCUUCUGACUAUAGCGAAAAAGGAUCCUCAGACAGUGACAUCCCCCAGACUGGAAGUCCUGUCACAGCACAGGACCUACCUCUCCUCUUUGUGUGUUCCGGAGCAGGACACUGAGGCCCGGCGCCCUGUGAGUGUCACUGCUCCGUCGCAGAUUGUUGUACGGGUUGCAUACUGUAAAAGUCCACCGGAUGUAGGGAAUGUGGAACUGAAAUUCAGCCUGUGUUCUACUUGCCGGUCUGGGUGACUGGUGUGGGUCUGUGUCUGUCCAGAGGGGGGCACCUGGUUUCUCUAAUUUUUACCCUGUGAGCUGGCAUGGCCCCAGGCCCUCUAGAGGCUGGCGUUUUCACACCAGAGUUCAGAGGCUUCUGCAUGUACACGCAGGCCAGCUGUCGGAUGGCCGUGGACCUGGGGAGCAGGACUUAUGCGUGAGAUACCUGCAGACCAAGGCCCUGGGCACUUAGUCUCGGCAAGUACAGAGAAGGGGACCGAGGGAACCCGCUGGCCCCUGGUGGGGUGGGCAGGGUACAGCAGAGUGGCCGGAGCACGGGACCACAGAAAUAAAAACACAACAAGGAUUCAC